rnacentral:rRNA from 1 species
CCUACGGGAGGCAGCAGUGAGGAAUAUUGGUCAAUGGCCGAGAGGCUGAACCAGCCAAGUCGCGUGAGGGAAGAAGGCCCUCUGGGUUGUAAACUUUUUUUAUAAAGGAAUAAAACGAGGCACGUGUGCCUUUUCGCAUGUACUUUAUGCAUAAGGACCGGCUCACUCCGGGCCAGCAGCCGCGGUAAGACGGAGGAUGCGAGCGUUAUCCGGAUUGAUUGGGUGUAAAGGGAGCGUAGAUGGGUUGUUAAGUCAGGUGUGAAAGUUUGCGGCUCAACCGUACAAUUGCAAGUGAUACGGGCAGUCUGGGGGAAAGAUGGGGUAGGCGGAAUUCGUGGUGUAGCGGUGAAAUGCUUAGAUAUCAGGAAGAAACCAGAGUGCGAAGGCAGCUUACUAAACUGUGACUGACAUUGAGGCUCGAAAGUGUGGGUAUCAAACAGGAUUAGAUACCCUUGUAGUC